rnacentral:lncRNA from 10 species
CACAGCAAUAUUUUUGUAGUUGUGAAAAAUAAGGCAUUCAUAAUACAUUGUUGAAUGAAAAAAAACCAUGGAAUAUUUAGUACCUCAGAUCUUUAUGUAUAGUAUACAUACAUAUAUCUAUUUGUAUAAGUAUAUAUUGUAUUGGGAUGAGUAAUACUUAAAUGUUCAGAUAUUUAAAGAAUAUUCUCUAUUUCUAUAUCUCUAUAUACAGAGAUUAAAGGUCUGAAAGAUGUAUGCAACAGUGGUGUUUACCUCCAGGAAGUAUAGGCUGUGGGUAUAGUAUAGGCUGGGAUGGGGAGAGAACUAUCAUUUUUCUUUAAAUUAUAAAACUAAAUGACCAUUUUAAAAAAAGGUUCAAAGUGAAAUAAGCUAUAUAUUUUUUAAAAUUGUAAAUAUCUGAAUAAUUAAGCACCAGUAAUCUCAAUAGCACUUACUUAAAAGUUCAUUUUCUCACUAACUUGAGAUGCUGCCUUUACUGUAUUCUAAAUGCCACUGAGUCUAUUUCUGGAAUUCCUCUUCUGUUCCAUUGGACUUCCUAUUUAUGUGCCAAUACAAAACUUUUCAUUUAUUCAACAUUACGAAUGCCUUCCAAUAUCCAUACUUUAACAGUUGCAUAGUAUUGAGUUACAUAAAUGUAUCAUAAUGUGUCUUAUUUUUCACAAUUACAAAAAUGUGGCUGUGAGAUCCUUGAAAAUGUAUCAUUGCCUAUUUGCAUGUUUCUUUAUGCUAAAUCUAUAGAUAGAGAGUAUCUGGGCCAAAAAGUGUGCACACUUUAAAAAAUUCUGAUAGCUUCUGCCAUGGAGGAUUUAGAGUAUGUUUUAGUGUCGGAUAUGGCUGGUCCCCUCUAAUUCUUUUCAGUUUCCAUGGUUAUUCUAGUAUGUUCUCUCAAAUAACAAUAUAAUUUUUAUUGGAAUGGCACUGAAUUUAUAAAUGAACCUAAGUGGGGAAAGACAUGUUUUGAUGUUGUCUAUCUAAGAAUAUCAUGUAUCUUUCCAUUUGGUGGAAUCUACAUUUUUGCCUCUCAAGAGUUUUUUUAGUUUUCCUCAUACAGAUUUUAGAUGUGUCUUAAAUUUACACAUUAAGUUUUCUUUUUACUUUUGCUAUCACAAAGGUGGUCUUCUCUUCAAGUAUCUUCUA